GACGAACGCUGGCGGCGUGCUUAACACAUGCAAGUCGAACGGAAAGGCCUCAGCUUGCUGGGGUACUCGAGUGGCGAACGGGUGAGUAACACGUGGGUGAUCUGCCUUGCACUCUGGGAUAAGCUUGGGAAACUGGGUCUAAUACCGGAUAUGAACUGCCUUUAGUGUGGUGGUUGGAAAGUUUUUUCGGUGCAAGAUGAGCUCGCGGCCUAUCAGCUUGUUGGUGGGGUAAUGGCCUACCAAGGCGUCGACGGGUAGCCGGCCUGAGAGGGUGUACGGCCACAUUGGGACUGAGAUACGGCCCAGACUCCUACGGGAGGCAGCAGUGGGGAAUAUCGCACAAUGGGCGGAAGCCUGAUGCAGCGACGCCGCGUGGGGGAUGACGGCCUUCGGGUUGUAAACUCCUUUCGACAGGGACGAAGCUUUUUGUGACGGUACCUGUAUAAGAAGCACCGGCUAACUACGUG
rnacentral:rRNA from 1 species